UGCAAGUCGAACGCAGUAGCAAUACUGAGUGGCAAACGGGUGAGUAUAAUGUGGGAAUCUGCCUUUUGGUCUGGAAUAACACGAGGAAACUUGUGCUAAUACCGGAUAAGCCUUCACAGGGAAAGUUUUAAUGCCAAAAGAUGAGCCCGCACUUGAUUAGCUAGUUGGUAAGGUAAUGGCUUACCAAGGCAACGAUCAAUAGCUGUUCUUAGAGGAAGACCAGCCACAUUGGGACUGAGACACGGCCCAAACUCCUACGGGAGGCAGCAGUGGGGAAUCUUGCACAAUGGGGGAAACCCUGAUGCAGCGAUGCCGCGUGAGUGAAGAAGGCCUUUGGGUUGUAAAACUCUUUCGUCGGGGAAGAAAAUGACUGUACCCGAAUAAGAAGGUCCGGCUAACUUCGUGCCAGCAGCCGCGGUAAUACGAAGGGACCUAGCGUAGUUCGGAAUUACUGGGCUUAAAGAGUUCGUAGGUGGUUGAAAAAGUUGGUGGUGAAAUCCCAGAGCUUAACUCUGGAACUGCCAUCAAAACUUUUCAGCUAGAGUAUGAUAGAGGAAAGCAGAAUUUCUAGUGUAGAGGUGAAAUUCGUAGAUAUUAGAAAGAAUACCAAUUGCGAAGGCAGCUUUCUGGAUCAUUACUGACACUGAGGAACGAAAGCAUGGGUAGCGAAGAGGAUUAGAUACCCUCGUAGUCCAUGCCGUAAACGAUGUGUGUUAGACGUUGGAAAUUUAUUUUCAGUGUCGCAGGGAAACCGAUAAACACACCGCCUGGGGAGUACGACCGCAAGGUUAAAACUCAAAUGAAUUGACGGGGACCCGCACAAGUAGUGGAGCAUGUGGUUUAAUUCGAAGAUACGCGCAGAACCUUACCAACACUUGACAUGUUCGUCGCGACUCUAAGA
rnacentral:rRNA from 1 species